rnacentral:rRNA from 1 species
AAAUUGAAGAGUUUGAUCAUGGCUCAGAUUGAACGCUGGCGGCAGGCCUAACACAUGCAAGUCGAGCGGAAACGAGUUAUCUGAACCUUCGGGGAACGAUAACGGCGUCGAGCGGCGGACGGGUGAGUAAUGCCUAGGAAAUUGCCCUGAUGUGGGGGAUAACCAUUGGAAACGAUGGCUAAUACCGCAUGAUGCCUACGGGCCAAAGAGGGGGACCUUCGGGCCUCUCGCGUCAGGAUAUGCCUAGGUGGGAUUAGCUAGUUGGUGAGGUAAGGGCUCACCAAGGCAACGAUCCCUAGCUGGUCUGAGAGGAUGAUCAGCCACACUGGAACUGAGACACGGUCCAGACUCCUACGGGAGGCAGCAGUGGGGAAUAUUGCACAAUGGGCGCAAGCCUGAUGCAGCCAUGCCGCGUGUGUGAAGAAGGCCUUCGGGUUGUAAAGCACUUUCAGUCGUGAGGAAGGUAGUGUAGUUAAUAGCUGCAUUAUUUGACGUUAGCGACAGAAGAAGCACCGGCUAACUCCGUGCCAGCAGCCGCGGUAAUACGGAGGGUGCGAGCGUUAAUCGGAAUUACUGGGCGUAAAGCGCAUGCAGGUGGUUUGUUAAGUCAGAUGUGAAAGCCCGGGGCUCAACCUCGGAAUAGCAUUUGAAACUGGCAGACUAGAGUACUGUAGAGGGGGGUAGAAUUUCAGGUGUAGCG